ensembl:lncRNA
CAUUGACUCCCUUUUGGGGCCCCUAGCUGCAUUUGGUCUCUUUUGCUUUGCUUUCCAUCUUGAAACAGCUCUAAGGCUUUUAGAAAGAGACCUUUCCUUUCCUCUCCUAAGCUGAGCUCUGAAACUUCCAGAAGAGGCAUAAUUUCCUCAUAAAAUGCUUCUAGGUUCCUUGUCCCAUCUGUAUGGAUGCCCACCUUGCUUUCUGCCCCUCCAUUGCAAUGUCCUGAACAAACCUCUGGAGGUAAACAAAGGACAAGUCUCCAGGGCCUGGAUCCAGGACAGCAGGCUGUAAGUCACACUGUAUGUGCCACGAAGGCUGACACGAGUCACAGAUACCCAAAAAAAGCAAAGGAGGACAGUGCAUGCCAAUCUUGUCUGAGAUUUAUGGAGGAUGAGGAAUUCACCUCUUCUGACAUGUAAAAAUAGCAUGGUAUGUGGAUAGAAGAGGAAAGCCCAG